CCACGCCGUAAACGAUGAAUACUAGGUGUAGGAGGUAUCGACUCCUUCUGUGCCGCAGCAAACGCAUUAAGUAUUCCACCUGGGGAGUACGGCCGCAAGGUUAAAACUCAAAGGAAUUGACGGGGGCCCGCACAAGCAGUGGAGUAUGUGGUUUAAUUCGAGGCAACGCGAAGAACCUUACCAGGGCUUGACAUCCUCUGACAGCUGUAGAGAUACAGUCUCCCUACGGGGCAGAGAGACAGGUGGUGCAUGGUUGU
rnacentral:rRNA from 1 species